GAUCAUGGCUCAGGAUGAACGCUGGCGGCGUGCUUAACACAUGCAAGUCGAGCGAAGCACUUAAGUUUGAUUCUUCGGAUGAAGACUUUUGUGACUGAGCGGCGGACGGGUGAGUAACGCGUGGGUAACCUGCCUCAUACAGGGGGAUAACGGUUAGAAAUGACUGCUAAUACCGCAUAAGCGCACAGUACCGCAUGGUACGGUGUGAAAAACUCCGGUGGUAUGAGAUGGACCCGCG
rnacentral:rRNA from 1 species